rfam:Hordeum vulgare subsp. vulgare, WGS project CAJW01000000 data, contig: morex_contig_48121
GUACUACUCCCUCUGUCCGGAAUUACUUGUCGCACAAAUGGAUAAAAAUGGAUGUAUCUAUAACUAAAAUACAUCUAGAUACAUCCAUUCCUAUGACAAGUAUUUCCAGACUGAGGGAAUAGAUG